UACGUAGGGGGCAAGCGUUGUCCGGAAUCGUUGGGCGUAAAGCGCGUGUAGGCGGUUCAGUAAGUCUGCUGUGAAAGCCCACGGCUCAACCGUGGAGGGUCAUUGGAAACUGGGGGACUUGAGUGCAGAAGAGGAAAGCGGAAUUCCACGUGUAGCGGUGAAAUGCGUAGAGAUGUGGAGGAACACCAGUGGCGAAGGCGGCUUUCUGGUCUGUAACUGACGCUGAGGCGCGAAAGCGUGGGGAGCAAACAGG
rnacentral:rRNA from 1 species